rnacentral:tRNA from 1 species
GGGGUCGUGGCCAAGCUGGUUAAGGCGCUCUUGGGUUUCUCUGGAGUUCCUAAGUCCAAAUCUAUGAAAAAAAACCAAAUCAUGCAUUCAGAAAGAGUCAAAAUACAGAGAUAUAGGAACAAACUACUUAUCACACAUUAUAAUUACAGAGCUCCAGAGAUGCCGAAGAGAGGCGAUGGUUCAAAUCCAUCCGACUCCA